rnacentral:rRNA from 1 species
GAUCAUGGCUCAGGAUGAACGCUAGCGACAGGCCUAACACAUGCAAGUCGAGGGGCAGCGGAGAGGUAGCAAUACCUUUGCCGGCGACCGGCGCACGGGUGAGUAACACGUAUGCAAUUCACCUGUAACAGGGGGAUAACCCGGAGAAAUCCGGACUAAUACCCCAUAAUAUGGGCUCUCCGCAUGGAGAGCCCAUUAAAGGGAGCAAUUUUGGUUACAGACGAGCAUGCGCUCCA